GACGAACGCUGGCGGCGUGCUUAACACAUGCAAGUCGAACGAAGUGGCGAACGGGUGAGUAACGCGUAAUCAACCUGCCCUUCAGAGGGGGACAACAGUUGGAAACGACUGCUAAUACCGCAUACUGAAGGAGGGGAUUGCGUCUGAUUAGCUAGUUGGAGGGGGAACGGCCCACCAAGGCGAUGAGCAGUAGCCGGCCUGAGAGGGGGACCGGCCACAUUGGGACUGAGAUACGGACCAAACUCCUACGGGGGGCAGCAGUGGGGAAUAUUGCACAAUGGGGGAACCCGUGAUGCAGCAACGCCGCGUGCGGGAUGACGGCCUUCGGGUUGUAAACCGCUUUCAGCCAUGACGCGGUAGUGGCAGAAGAAGCACCGGCUAACUACGUGCCAGCCGCCGCGGUAAUUC
rnacentral:rRNA from 1 species